rnacentral:rRNA from 1 species
UACGUAGGGUGCAAGCGUUGUCCGGAAUUAUUGGGCGUAAAGAGCUCAUAGGCGGUCUGUCGCGUCGGCUGUGAAAACCCGGGGCUCAACCCCGGGCCUGCAGUCGAUACGGGCAGACUAGAGUGCGGUAGGGGAGACUGGAAUUCCUGGUGUAGCGGUGAAAUGCGCAGAUAUCAGGAGGAACACCGGUGGCGAAGGCGGGUCUCUGGGCCGUAACUGACGCUGAGACGCGAAAGCGUGGGGAGCAAACAGG